AACGCAAAUUGCACUCCCUGGCAUCCCGGGGAGUAUGCCUGUUUGAGGGUUGGUUUAAAUAACAAUCGAUAUGUUACUUUUGUGUCAUUUCGGAAUUGGAUCAUCUUAAAUAAUUAAGGGAUCUUAAAUUGAUGUUUCUUGUGUGUCUUGACGUGUAUGAUUUUUUUUUAUCUCGUCACUGGACGCCAAGGUAUUUUAUUAGGUGUGGCUAUGUUAAGUGGUCUCAUGCCUAUAGGAUUUUCUUGAUUUCAACCUCAAAUCAGGUAGGGAUACCCGCUGAACUUAA
rnacentral:misc_RNA from 1 species